rnacentral:rRNA from 1 species
GCACGCCUGCCCAGUGAACAAUUAAACGGCCGCGGUACCCUAACCGUGCAAAGGUAGCAUAAUCAUUUGUCUAUUAAUUGUAGACCUGUAUGAAAGGCAAAAUGAGGGCCUAACUGUCUCUUAUAGUAAGUCAAUUAAACUGAUCUCCUAGUCCAAAAGCUAGGAUACCCUCAUAAGACCAGAAGACCCUGUGAAGCUUUAAUUAAACUAUUAACCCUUAUAAUAACUACUUUCGGUUGGGGCGACCUUGGAAAAAAAAAGAACUUCCAAUAUAAAAUAUACAAAUUACACCCAGGCUGACAAGCCACCAAAGACCCAGCACAGCUGAUAAUCGAACCAAGUUACUCCAGGGAUAACAGCGCUAUCUUCUUCAAGAGCCCAUAUCAAAAAGAAGGUUUACGACCUCGAUGUUGGAUCAGGACAUCCUAAUGGUGCAGCCGCUAUUAAGGGUUCGUUUGUUCAACGAUUAACAGUCCUACGUGAUC